rnacentral:rRNA from 1 species
ACUUGUCUUCUAANUAAANACCAGUAUGAACGGCUAAAUGAGGAUAGGCCUGUCUCUUAAGACCAAUCAGUGAAACUGAUCUCCCAGUACAAAAGCUGGGAUACACACAUCAGACGAGAAGACCCUGUGGAGCUUUAAACCAACUACUAACAGGCACAAAAUUGCACCUAGUACUUAGUUUUGAGUUGGGGCGACUUCGGAACAAAACAAAACUUCCGAGCACAGAACCACAAAUUCUAACCGCGGCCCACAAGCCAAAGUUAAAAAUAUAAGACCCAGUACCACUGAUCAACGAACCAAGUUACCCCAGGGAUAACAGCGCAAUCUUCUUUAAGAGUCCCUAUCGACAAGAAGGUUUACGACCUCGAUGUUGGAUCAGGACACCCAAAUGGCGCAGCCGCUAUUAAAGGUUCGUUUGUUCAACGAUUAACAGUCCU